UACGGGGGGAGCAAGCGUUGUUCGGAUUUACUGGGCGUAAAGGGCGCGUAGGCGGCCAGCACAAGUCAGUUGUGAAAUCUCCGAGCUUAACUCGGAAAGGUCAACUGAUACUGUGCGGCUAGAGUGCGGAAGGGGCAACUGGAAUUCUUGGUGUAGCGGUGAAAUGCGUAGAUAUCAAGAGGAACACCUACGGCGAAGGCAGCUCGCUGGGACGGUACUGACGCUGAGACGCGAAAGCGUGGGGAGCAAACAGG
rnacentral:rRNA from 1 species